UACGAAGGGGGCUAGCGUUGCUCGGAAUCACUGGGCGUAAAGGGCGCGUAGGCGGCGUUUUAAGUCGGGGGUGAAAGCCUGUGGCUCAACCACAGAAUGGCCUUCGAUACUGGGACGCUUGAGUAUGGUAGAGGUUGGUGGAACUGCGAGUGUAGAGGUGAAAUUCGUAGAUAUUCGCAAGAACACCAGUGGCGAAGGCGGCUCACUGGCCCGAUACUGACGCUGAGGCACGAAAGCGUGGGGAGCAAACAGGG
rnacentral:rRNA from 1 species